rnacentral:rRNA from 1 species
CCUACGGGUGGCAGCAGUGAGGAAUAUUGGUCAAUGGGCGCGAGCCUGAACCAGCCAAGUAGCGUGAAGGAUGACUGCCCUACGGGUUGUAAACUUCUUUUAUAAAGGAAUAAAGUGAGGCACGUGUGCCUUUUUGUAUGUCCUUUAUGAAUAAGGAACGGCUAACUCCGUGUCAGCAGCCGCGGUAAUACGGAGGAUCCGAGCGUUAUCCGGAUUUAUUGGGUUUAAAGGGAGCGUUGAGGGGUUGUUAAGUCAGUUGUGAAAGUUUGCGGCUCAAACGGAAAACUGCAAUUGAUACUGGCAGCCUUGAGUACAGUUGAGGUAGGCGGAAUGCGUGGUGUAGCGGUGAAAUGCUUAGAUAUCACGAAGAACUCCGAUUGCGAAGGCAGCCUACUAAACUGCCACUGACAUUGAGGCUCGAAAGUGUGGGUAUCAAACAGGAUUAGAUACCCCGGUAGUC